rnacentral:rRNA from 1 species
CAAUAGCGUAUAUUAAAGUUGUUGCAGUUAAAAAGCUCGUAGUUGGAUUUCUGAUCGAGACAUCAGGUCGGGUCCGAGAGGAUCAUGUACUUUGAUUUUGUUUUGAUCAUCCUUGGGGAGAGCAUUUCUGGCAUUCAGUUGUCGGGAUUGGGAUCCUCAUCGUUUACUGUGAAAAAAUUAGAGUGUUCAAAGCAGGCCUCGGCCUCUGAAUACAUUAGCAUGGAAUAAUAAGAUAGGACUUUGGUGGUCUAUUUUGUUGGUUUGCACGCCAAAGUAAUGAUUAACAGGGAUAGUUGGGGGUAUUCGUAUUCAAUUGUCAGAGGUGAAAUUCUUGGAUUUAUGGAAGACGAACUACUGCGAAAGCAUUUACCAAGGAUGUUUUCAUUAA